GUCACAAAUAGAAAGCCUUGCAGGUUCAGGAGGUGAAAAUGAGCCACACCGAGACAAACCGUGAGGCAGAUAAAAAUCACAUAGCCAUGCACCUGCAAAUGCAGGAAAAAAACAACCGAUUUUGUCACUUUAAAUCAAGUACUUGUUACAUCAUCAAUUAAGUUUGCCAUAAUAUGGGAUAGUAUUUUGUCAGCUGAACUGUGCUGUAGGCAGUGCAGCUACAAUUUGAAACAUACUGCAUAUAGAGCUCUCUUCCCACUGCAGGUUUAAAUGAACAGAGAAAACCUCCCCCUAAAAAUCAACAGUGCUGAAGGAAACAAACUGAAAUACCCAGAAGCCUUGGAAAUACUCAAAACUUGAUACAGAACAGGCAUCUUUUUAUUCACUCUACUUUUCAGUAGAGAAACCUCAGUGGAGAGCCUCCCUUACCCACUAUUUUGUCAUCUCUGUCAUAGUCAUCCUGGACUGUGUCAUGAGACCAAAAAAAUCAUUGCUUGCAGAAAGGAUUUCUCCAACACCUUUGAACUUUUGCCAUCGACAUGCAUGUCAGGAGAGUUGCAAAGCCUUGCUUUGACUGCCUGGCUGAUCACGCUGCCUUUCGUUGGUAUCAUCCCCUCAAGAACAUCUCAAAAGCUGAUGCUGAAAGUUAAAUACUGGGAACAAA